rnacentral:tRNA from 1 species
GGGCGAGUGACGGCGAGCGGUUAGCCAUCAUCCUUACAAGAUGAAGUAUACAGGUUCAAUUCCUGUCUCGCCCACCA